CCAACCAUAGCUCAGUUGGUAGAGCGGAGGACUGUAGUUGAAGCGGUGAUCCUUAGGUCGCUGGUUCGAAUCCGGCUGGUUGGA
rfam:Bursaphelenchus xylophilus, Ka4C1 (inbred line), WGS project CADV01000000 data, contig: scaffold01145.6